rnacentral:tRNA from 1 species
AGUAAAGUCAGCUAACCAAGCUUUUGGGCCCAUACCCCAAGCAUGUAGGUUAAAUCCCUACCUUUACUA